GAAACAUGGCAUACACAGCGGUGUUGUGUGCUAUGGAUGACGUGGAAAACCUCGUGUGGAUUAGACAAAGUUAAGACUACAGGUGUAUAUUUAGUUUUUAAGAGAUAAAGUGUUUAAAGCAAAGUAUUUUAGAAAGUAUCCAUUCAUGCAGGAAUCUGAAAAUAUGAGUUAGAACAAGAAGCAUAUACACAUACAGUUGACGCCAACAUUUCGAUUAGUCCCAUCAGUCCAAUCACGUUUCAUGCCAAGGGGCUGUUCGUAUGGAACUGGGAUGAUUCGUUUAACAAGGCUCUUAUCACAGCUAUGAUAAACAUCCAAUGAUUUAAUUUUAUUUAUAAACUUCACAAUCAACAAAACGAUUGAAGGUAC